rnacentral:rRNA from 1 species
UUCGAUUCAGCGGCGGACGGGUGAGUAAUGCCUAGGAAUCUGCCUGGUAGUGGGGGACAACGUUUCGAAAGGAACGCUAAUACCGCAUACGUCCUACGGGAGAAAGCAGGGGACCUUCGGGCCUUGCGCUAUCAGAUGAGCCUAGGUCGGAUUAGCUAGUUGGUGAGGUAAUGGCUCACCAAGGCGACGAUCCGUAACUGGUCUGAGAGGAUGAUCAGUCACACUGGAACUGAGACACGGUCCAGACUCCUACGGGAGGCAGCAGUGGGGAAUAUUGG